GAUGAACGCUAGCUACAGGCUUAACACAUGCAAGUCGAGGGGCAGCAUGAACAAGCUUGCUUUGUUUGAUGGCGACCGGCGCACGGGUGCGUAACACGUAUCCAAUCUGCCCGCGGCUCGGGGAUAGCCCAUCGAAAGGUGGAUUAAUACCCGAUGGUGUGGUCACUCCGCAUGGGGUUUCCACUAAAGGUUUUCCGGCCGCGGAUGAGGAUGCGUAUGAUUAGGUAGUAGGCGGGGUAACGGCCCACCUAGCCUUCGAUCAUUAGGGGGUUCUGAGAGGAAGGUCCCCCCACACUGGAACUGAGACACGGUCCAGACUCCUACGGGAGGCAGCAGUGA
rnacentral:rRNA from 1 species